ACCUGCGGAAGGAUCAUUACCGAGUGAGGGCCCUCUGGGUCCAACCUCCCACCCGUGUUUAUUUUACCUUGUUGCUUCGGCGGGCCCGCCUUAACUGGCCGCCGGGGGGCUUACGCCCCCGGGCCCGCGCCCGCCGAAGACACCCUCGAACUCUGUCUGAAGAUUGAAGUCUGAGUGAAAAUAUAAAUUAUUUAAAACUUUCAACAACGGAUCUCUUGGUUCCGGCAUCGAUGAAGAACGCAGCGAAAUGCGAUACGUAAUGUGAAUUGCAAAUUCAGUGAAUCAUCGAGUCUUUGAACGCACAUUGCGCCCCCUGGUAUUCCGGGGGGCAUGCCUGUCCGAGCGUCAUUGCUGCCCUCAAGCCCGGCUUGUGUGUUGGGCCCCGUCCCCCGAUCUCCGGGGGACGGGCCCGAAAGGCAGCGGCGGCACCGCGUCCGGUCCUCGAGCGUAUGGGGCUUUGUCACCCGCUCUGUAGGCCCGGCCGGCGCUUGCCGAUCAACCCAAAUUUUUAUCCAGGUUGACCUCGGAUCAGGUAGGGAUACCCGCUGAACUUAAGCAUAUCAA
rnacentral:rRNA from 1 species